GCUGUGGCCAACAAAGAGCAAGAUUGCCAGGUUAAUCUCAGUGUGAAGGGACACAGCUCAGCCACACACCCCAGUUCUCACUUUAGGGCUAACCAGACUCUGAAGAAAUGGCAUUUUUCCUUCCCCUUGAAGCCCACGUUGGUCAAAGGAAAGCAACACCUGAAAAAAACCUCAGGACUUUGGAGUACAGGUGCUGGUUUCUAAACAGGACCUUGAAAUUAGACAUGCAGUCCAACUUCCUAACAAGGGUUAACAUCGACCUAAAAGUCAUUUUUAAGAGAGCAGCCAUACGUGCUCAGCCACUGCUGCACAUGGCAAAACCAAAAUGCUGACAGCUCUUCAGACUGCAUUCACUGUGUCUCUUGCACUGCCCUCCCCAGCUUCCAAAGUCUGGAGCUGUUCUACACUUAUUGCUUCCCUAAUUAGCAACUUCUAAAUGCCUUUGUUUUAUAGAAAUUCUGAUAGCUGAAAAGAACAUUAGGAUACAUUCCCAACCCUUCUGGCAAGCCAGCAAAUAAAAAUGGUUUGAAUACCAGCACGAAAAUAUUUUGAUAAAAGCUUUGGUUUGUAACUCCAAGUAUGAUCUAUGAGGUGCUCUAUAAAGCAAACUCACAGGGAGGAGGGUGCUCAGGGAUCAGCUGAGAUAAAAGGGCACUACUCACUGCAUUUAGGGCAUGUGUACUGAGUUGCCUCAGAACACAGUGGUGCAUACACAAGUACCAGGCACUGCUGAGAAGUCAGUGUGCUGAUAGUACACCUUGGGAACAGAAAAUGCCUACAAAACCCAUACAGAUAAGUAAUGCCAAAGCAACUCACCAUGGUAACGUUGAAUUUGUUGACAUGCUGGAAAAAAAAAAACCAUACAGACAUGGUUAGUGGAGUGUUUUGCUGCCUCCAGCACCCGCCCCUCUGCACAUAAUGCAACAGAACCUCUGCAGUGUGGCACUGCUGACGCUGAGCGGGGCUGUAGCCCUUUUAAAGCAGUCAGCAACAGAAAGAUGAGGGGAGAAAAAAGGCCCUUCUCUGCGAUUGUGCCACGUGGUUAACGUGGUUAAAACUUCUAAGGAGCCCUCCGAGUCAGAGAAUCAUUUGGGAUUUUAACGUCAGUGUGGGAUAUUUAGCAAACGCUUGUGCAUCUGUCACUGCUUCAUUAGGUCAGGCAUUAAAAACUGAUGGCUCGUGAGACUCAGUUACCUUCUUCCCCAUGCAUUUUAACACGGAGACAGGCCUACCCCCUUUACCCCUGUCACUGCUCACUUCUGCCUUGCUCAUCUCCUGUGCAGUGCUCAGCUACGUGUGCUGCACGUGGGAGCACCAAGAAGACCCCGAUGCAGGUCGCUGUUACUGCUCACCACACUUGGCACGCAAAGGGCUCCUAUGAAGCAGAGCUGCUGAAGAUCCAGGGUGAGCUUUUCUUACAAUGAAAGGAUGGAAAAGAGCUUUCUGCCUUGAAGCCAUUUGUACAAGUGCACCUGCAGGGUCCUAUCGAACAGCCUGUCUCCCUACAAGCCUGAAAUCAGCAAAGGCGGUUGCAUGCGAAGCAAAACCAGCCCGGUCCCAACAGUGCAACUUAAAGUCAUUACAGCCCCUGGUAAGUGAUCACUCGGAGCAAGACUUGGCACUGUGCAGACAGCCAGACAGCCCACGCACCACUUCAGUCCCACUCACUGCUGUGGGAGUUAAAUGACACACGGGCCUCGUGCUGGCCCUUCAUGCUGCGAUACGUGUCAGCCUGGGUGGACUCACAGCAAAAGCUUUUACAGAGUGAGGAAAGAACACGGGCAUAAGUGAGUGCUAGGCACACAACAGGCUAUCGGCAUGCAGCUCUCUGCCUCCCGUUUCCUCUCUGUGCCUGAAAAGCAAAAGGGGACUGACCUCAGAUGCUGUGAGCAUUAGGCAGGAUUACAUUAAAGCCAGUGGUUGUAAGGGUCACGAUGCUGCAGUGCGCCAAUAGGAACACCAUAAAGAACUGAGUGGGCUGAGGGAAUCGAUGCACGUACCAUGUUGACAAAGGCAGAGAGAAAAACCAGGAUAAUGGCAAAGACUCCGACUAAGGUACUAUUGGUCCUGGACUGUACAAUCUUCUUAGAAAGAGUCUGGAGUGGUGCUGGGAAAAGCUGGAUGUGGGAGAAAAAAAAAAAAGACUAAAUAAACAUAUGAAAUCAUUGCUUAUUUUACAAAUUGCAACUUGCAUUUGAGCUGCCCACAUCCUUCAGCGCGGUGUCUGUGUGGAUUCUGCACAGGGGUCAGAGAACGGCUGAUGGGACGACAGCUCUGGGACAAAGGCAGGCAGGAACGUGAUGGACUUGUGGUGGAAUUUGCUUAUUCCUUCCCAACGGGGAACGUUCUGCCUGAUCUCAGUUUGUGAGCUGUGAUAGCACUGUUCACAGGGCUGCCCUCAUCCUGCUGGGAGAAGCAAACCACAAGCCACCUGUAAUUGAAAUAACAAGGAGCUGGAGCUUUUAAAUCAUUGGAUCCAACUUUGAAAAAAGCAGAAAUGGAAGAAAAAAGAAGAAGAAGAAGAAAAGUGUUACAUCCCUUUGAUCAAGAAGUAAUACUGCAGCACUCUGUGGUGCCAUUUCAGCAAUGCAGUUAAAAAGCCCUGGCCAGCCCUGUGCUCUGUUCCACCCUGGCUGCAGAAACCAGCUGGCCUUGGCUUGUCUGCAGCACAGACAGGGGGCUAAAAAUAACCUCUGCUAAGGGCAAUCCCUGCACUUCCCUAAACAGCCCAUCCCAGAGAUUUGCUGUUAUCAAUGCUGGAAGAGUUCUUCUAAUUGCCUUUUCACCACACACCUGCAGCACUCUUGGUUUCCAGGUGCUGCAUUGCAUCCUAGGAAGAAGCAGUCUGCGUUAAAACCUAACGAGGAGUGCUGUGCUGCAGGGGUCACACCUCAGCAUCAGCCAGCCCUCCUUGCACUGCAUCAGUGCAAGACCAGGGAAGUCCAGAAGGCACUGAAACAAACUCUUUCUCUUCCCAUUGACUCUACACGACACCACCAAUCCAGAGCACGCUCAGGGCUGGAGCAGCAAGAGAUGGGCGCAGCAGAUCCUCCAUCACCCUGUGACUGGGGAGCACCAGCCCUGCAGUGCCUGUCCCCUUCGGGCUGCCGCUCCAGGGACUCUGCUGAGGACUGCCCAAGUUUUCCAGAAUCCAACUCCCCAUACCCACACGCUGCAUGAAUAACCGAGCUGCCAGAAGGUAUUUUUAGAGACACAAAGAAGCUAGCGGCACAGCGACAUGGCACUGCAAUUUAACUAUGACUAAUGCUUCUAUUAAAAGUCCUGCUUUUCCCCUUUAUCCUUCACUCUUACAUCUUUAGAUGUAAGAGCAUCUUUAGAGAUGCGAUGAUUUGUCAGUGCACAGCUUCCCACGCAGCGACCCUACAACGUAAUUACGAAGCAACUGAAGCACUGUUUUGUUGGUGACUUUCGCAGGAGGAAAAGAGAGGCCAACACAGUAAGAGUUUUCUCCAUAAGGGAGGAGAGGGCCAUUGUCUGUGUGGGGUACUGACCAAUUUGCACUGGAUGAGAAUGGACUGAAAUCCAUGGAAAGCUUAUACAAUCCCUGGGCUCAGGUGGUCUCUUUCUGUAAUCUUUGGCAAAUCAGGCACUGAGUAAAGCUUGGGUGUGCUUUGCUGUGAAUCUUGGCUCAAUCCUUUGCUGCCAGCGAUCCCCAAAAAAGCCUGACUUUGAACCAAGCCUGAGAUACCAAGCAAAGCUAUCAGUGAAAGACACUUAAAGUUUAAUGAAAACAUGUUUUUUUUUUUUUUUUUUUGUAUUAAUCUUGGUUCUCCUUACUUUGCAAAAUAGGGAAAACCUUAGGUCAGUAAACAAGUGCAGCUGGAAAAAGUCCUGAGGAGGUAACAAAUGCCAGAAGCCAUAGGAGGUUAGGAUUGCAAUGGAGAGCACAGCAGCACAGCUGUGCCUCACAUCUGAGCGGCCUCUGCCUUAGGAACAGCCUUCAGGAACGCUCUGCACAUGUGUAACCUCUUACUGUACAGAGGCAGUCACAGUGACCGGUAAUACUUGAGGUUUGGAAGACCUCUGUGGUAGAAACGGGGUACCUGUCCCAGAUCUGGCAGGUCAGCUCUGCUCUAGCCAUGUUCCUUCUAUAAAAGUAGCCACAAGUCAGGGGUAUAACAACUCCCAUGAAGGAAAAAAAAAAAAAAAAAAAAGAAAGAAAAGUGGAUAGUUCUAACAAAAUUAAAUCCUUUCUGUCCUUGUAAGAGAAGCAGAACAAUCAAGAUGUUAUGGUACAGUGAAAAUCUGCUCGCUGUUGGUAGUUAGCCCACUGGUUUGUAUUGUCCAGCACCCUCUGCUCCUCUUAAUACCUCAAAUCAUGCCUGAAUGAAGGACAGAACAUGGAACGGCCUAAUGAAAUGGCACCUCUAAGAUUGUGCAUGCAUCUCCUGAGAAACUGGCUGAAGGAUCUAACUCUGUGAUUUGGGCAGCCUGGAUUCACACUCGGGUUGCCACACAAGCUUGAGGCUGCUUGUUAGCUCUCUUAAAAUACCUGUAUCGAGAAAAAUAACCCCAAUGGGAUAAAGUCAAUUCCAGUUCAUUCUGCACAGAAAUGUGUAAGCACUGCUGGAAGAUGUAAGCCCCCUCAAGAGUCUCCAAAAGCAUGCAGGUAUCAAAUCACAGAACCAUUAAGGUUGGAAAAGAUCACUAAGAUCAUCCAGUCCAACUGUCAACCCAUCACCACCAUGCCCACUGUGAAUGUGAAUACAGAAGGGGAAAGUAGGGCACUGAGGUCCAGGUGAAAGCCCUAACAGAAAAAAGCAAUAAGCACAAGUGCUAUAUUGAAAAUGACCUAAGACAUCCAUUCAUUUGCAUGACAAAAAUAAGAUAAAAUAAAAUAAAAUACAAUAAAUAAAAACUGUACUUUGCAGUAACAGCUGAUCACAGACAGGAAGGUCAUAUUUCUCCUUUCUAUCGUCUUAAGAUAUACGGUGGACAUGGAAAACCACUUAGAUAAUUGCUGCUGUGUUGUGAGACGACAAAAGAAUAGGAAGUCUUUAAGUUCCGAGUUUUCAAUUUGUAAUAAAAGCCUUUGAGACAUUCUGAAGUACAUUAAGAUGAUUCCGGAGUAAAAGACAAUAUCUCCAGGCAACUUGAUGUUGCAAGUCCAUUUAUGUAACUUAUUUCAUACAGAUUUAUUAGUCUAUAAAAAAGUACAAUUUUCAGAGGUACUUCUUCCUUUGCCUGAGAAGAAAAAAAGUAAAAUAAAAAGGAGCUUCUAGCCCAGUCUCAGGAGGCAGAGAAACAAGUGGGCAAACUGUACGUAUCCAGGUACAGUCUCAAAAUCAUCUUUCUUGAGAGUAAGGGCUAACUUGAACUUUUUGCCAUACGUGCUCCCAGGAACGUGCAAGAAGUUAAAUUUCAUGCAGCAGUUUAGAUACCAGGAGUGAAGGAUUUUAAGAAGAAACACAAACUUGGUAAGUUAGUAGCAAAACAGAUGUCUGACAGUGGAGUAUUUGUGAAGGGACCAUGGUUCCCAUGACCUUAGACUCUAUUGGGAAGGAACACCAUCUCACGGUGGCCAAGUCUUCACGGAGUAUCAAAGUGAAGAACUGGAAUUCUCUUGUUUAUUGCAGCUGAAGGGACUUGGAAAGCCAAACUGGCUGUGUUGGCAGGUCCAGGAUCAACUCAUAGUCCGUAGAGAAUUUUACAGUAGAAGAUAAUAAUGACAGCAAAAGAAGAUAAAACAUGAACAAGUUGUCCUGAAAGAGCCUGCUGGCCACUGUCAAAGCCAGAGAUGGAGAGGCCAAAACAGGGAAGGAAGGAAGGAAAAGAGACACUUAUCAUAUAACAGUACAGCAAACAGGCAGAAGUUAUGCUUACACUGGUAUCCUGGGGUGGACACCUGCUUUCCAACUUUGUGUGGAAUUAACCACUGGUAUGUAAAAUACAUGCUUUCCUAUCCCACAUCCGAGUGCGAAACAAAACAAAUAAUGCUGACAUCUCCGUGUCUUAAAAUUUCCUCCAAAGGGUCUGUAAAAGUGCCUUCCUCACUUCUGAGUAUUCGUAAAAAGGCUUCUUGGAGCAACGUGCAACACAGCAAUAAAGUAAUAGCCCUUAACCAAGUGCUAGCUAAAUAUGUUGAUUAAAAAACCGACUUGAAACACCAAAAUCUUUCAUGACAGAAGCAUCAGACAGGUAGCUGACAAGCAACCAUACAGCAGGAAGUACCUGUCCCUAAACAAAUCAUCUCAUAAUCAGAUACUGUGAGCUGAGGCAAUAAAAAGGGGUAAUCAAAAAGCUACUGGAGCCAGAAGGCUCUAUGUUUUCAGUAUCUGCAAUUUGUACAUGUAAUACAACGGUCACGUUGAACAUUAUAUGUAAGUACCUUGUGGGUCUGGGGUAGAAUGCUGAAAACACACUUUUGGAAAUACUACAUAAAAUCCCAUUAAAUUCUGAUGUUAGUCUGAAUUCACUGUGAUGUCCCGAAGGCAGCCUAAAGCCAGUUGCAGGCACCAAUAAACAGACCUCAUUUACAGGAGCUUGGAAGGUCAAGGCAAAGAAAGCAAGACCGAACAUCCUCUGAGGGUCAUAAGGACUGAAGAACGCCAUGUGCUUUUAAAAUUUAUCAUUAAUUCAGAUCAGUAAUAAGGAAGAAAUCAAAAAGUCCCCAAAUUAAAACCAAAACGUGUGAAUUUGUCAGAAGUGAGUGUUGCCAUCUGUACACAGAAGCUUGUAAAAGCCAGUGACAAACAACCAUGUGCUCUGAAAUCCACCUGGUGGCAAGUCAACGAGCUUGAAUCCUUCAGAGUUCUGAGUGAACCACUUCUCAGCUCGAGGGACACAAGUCGUCCCAUUAGCACUGUUAUCUCUGACCUAUACAUCUCACUGCUGGUGAACAAGCAGGACCAAUGAGAUGCUGCACUUGACUCCCUUUAGAAAUCUCAUGAGCCCAAGGGAAGCCCCAUGAGUUGUUAAAUUCAAAUCUAAUCUAAGGGUUUCAUUGAGAACAGUUUAUAAGCUCUUAUUAAAUGAGAGGCAAAGCUUGAUUCUGCAGAUCUAGCUUUCCAAAUCCAAAAAGAGGUGAAAGGUGCAAGUCUGUCGAGCUCCCACCUGCAGCUGUUGGAAAUGGCACAGAGAAGGUAACUAAAAGGAGGUAAAUCAUCUGCCUGACAUAAUCCAUUACCUAACUGUCUUCUGCAGAAAAAUUAAUGCUCCUGAGCUAUUUUCUGCUAAGCGUAACAAAGCUCUGCUUGGAUUGAAGUGCCUGAAUCUGUAUCAUUUCCACGUUCAGACCCUGCUAGAAUGGAAAGACCCCCAAAACAGCACGUAAAGCCAACUAGCAUCAGCAUCUUAAUACAAAUACCUCUGAGUGAAAAAGAAAAGCCUAUCCCCCUUCCAAAACACUGACUGCCAUUUUACCAGAAAUCGCCAAGAAUAAUUAGUAUGACUUCAGAUUUCACACAACAAAUUUCUCUGCUUAUCAGUAACAGUCGCAAGAAAGAGCUCUGUAUUCUCAUCUGAGAAUGGCUGAUAAAGUUAUAUAUGUUUAUGGCUUUUACUUCCCCCCAGGACGUUUUUCCUUGAUGAUAUUUCGCUUCUGAUUAUCUGCCUACCCAAACAUGCAUAUGCAGCAGGGGAUGGUGCACAGGCUGCUCUGCAGGAAGUUUGCAGGGAGGAAACGAGUGAUCAGUGUUUUGUUCCACAUUGGGAAAUGUGUACUUCUUAUAUCAAUAUAAGAGUGCCUGCAGAGACAGUGGGGACUUAAUAGACAUGCAGAUCCACAGAGUGAUUACUGCUUGCUGAGCUAAAGAGAUGCCAACCCUAACAUCUGUUUGCUGUUCAUUCUGUCUUAUCAAAGCCUUUUCUGUAACCCUUAUCACACAGUGUGGACAGGAUGGCUAACAAAACACACUCUGUUAGCUGAAGAAACAAGUUACUGAUCCAGUCAGCUUCAGCAAAGGACUCUACAAAGAAAACACAUUGCUUACCUUUACACAGGAGUAAAUGAUGGAAACAAACACCACCGUGGUCAAGAUCAGAAAACAGGUCAGGUAAAAACCCAGCAUAAACGUAGAGCUGAAAGCAAGGAGAUUUAUUUUUAAUGCAUACCAUAUAGAAAGCUACGGCUCUGAUCUCUAGACUAUGACAUUUGUACAAGCUAUGACACACUGCACAGGCUUUCCAAUUAGGAUAGCAGUAGGAGAUGCAAGGUGCCUUGAAUACCAACAGAUAGGCUGCCCUAUUUGAAUUACUCACACAGGCUGCAGAGCAGAGAAUGCUGCAUCUUUUAUAGCAAUCACCUUCCUGCCGAGGUGACAGCAGAGGGACUGAGAAAUAUCUCCUGUGCUCGAGGAGGUGACGGAACAAUUUGUUACAGAGGGUCAGCCCCGCUGGCUGCGGGCCGGAGACCCUAGGAAGGAAAGCGUGCUGUGCACUGCAGUGCAGCUGAGUGCAUGUGAAAUCCACAGGGAAGGCACAUUUCGUGUUAAGCUGAUGAAACCCUCAUGUCUGUACCCCAGGUAGAGCUGGGAAACCUAGUGCUUUCCUGAGGGAAUGCACAAGGGAAAAGCUCAGUGGGGACAGCCCUGCCACGUCUGAGCUUCGUCCUGUGUAUGGAACGGGAGCAACCAUGGCACACGGGUGGGGGUAACAGCUUUCGCCUGGUCAGCCGGAGACGUUCCUCCGCUUUCUCUGUUCCUCUCAACUUUGAAGUACAAACAGGACCUCAGGGCCAACUUUGUACUAUGCAUUUUUUAUGUGUUUUGAUCAUGGAGAUAUUCAACAACAAUUUUGCAGUGAUUGGUCUCAGUAUGAAAGGACAGGCCCCCCUCCCAGGAGUUUGCCUUGUUCAUAAUUUAAAGGAAGUACUCUUGCAACGUGACAUUAAGGCUAACCACACCAAAGCCAGCUGGUCUCUGUGUUCUCUCAUGACUAUUAGGAUAAUUGUACUUGCUAAUUCACUGUUUGAGCCUCUGUGAAAUUCAUUAAAGCGAUUCCUCUUUAUCAUCACAAGUCACCACUGCCAUUUUGUCUCUAGUGUCAGACUCAAAUUCCACACCGUGUCUUUGAUGAAGCUCUGAUGGUGACACAAACACACCUGUGGUUUUGGUUGCUGCUUAACUGUUACCUU